UGGCGGCGUGCCUAAUACAUGCAAGUCGAACGGUCUUUCUAUGGAAGCUUGCUUCCACUGAGAAGAUAGUGGCGAACGGGUGAGUAACACGUGGGUAACCUGCCCAUAAGAGGGGGAGUAACAUCCGGAAACGGGUGCUAAUACCGCAUAGUUUUCUUGAUCGCAUGAUUGAGAAAGGAAAGAUGGCCUUUGUGCUGUCGCUUAUGGAUGGACCCGCGGCGUAUUAGUUAGUUGGUGAGGUAACGGCUCACCAAGACGAUGAUACGUAGCCGACCUGAGAGGGUGAUCGGCCACAUUGGGACUGAGACACGGCCCAAACUCCUACGGGAGGCAGCAGUAGGGAAUCUUCCGCAAUGGACGAAAGUCUGACGGAGCAACGCCGCGUGAGUGAAGAAAGGUUUUCGGAUCGUAAAACUCUGUUGUCAGAGAAGAACAAGUUGGAGAGUAACUGCUCCAGCCUUGACGGUAUCUGACCAGAAAGCCACGGCUAACUACGUGCCAGCAGCCGC
rnacentral:rRNA from 1 species